UACGGAGGAUGCGAGCGUUAUCCGGAUUUAUUGGGUUUAAAGGGAGCGUAGGUGGAUUGUUAAGUCAGUUGUGAAAGUUUGCGGCUCAACCGUAAAAUUGCAGUUGAAACUGGCAGUCUUGAGUACAGUAGAGGUGGGCGGAAUUCGUGGUGUAGCGGUGAAAUGCGUAGAUAUACGGAGGAACACCAGUGGCGAAGGCGGAUUGCUGGACAGUAACUGACGCUGAGGCGCGAAAGCGUGGGGAGCAAACAGG
rnacentral:rRNA from 1 species